GCAGUAGGCGGGACGAUCGCUCGCGCGGCAUUCGUUGCCAAGCGGGAGGAAAGUCCGGGCUCCAUAGGACAGGAUGGUCGAUAACGUCGACCGGUCGCGAGGCUAGGGAAAGUGCAGCAGAGAGCAAACCGCCGAACGGUUUACUGGUUCGCCAGUCAAACGCGUGGUAAGGGUGAAACGGUGCGGUAAGAGCGCACCAGCAGUCGGGGUGACUCGAUUGGCUUGGUAAACCCCAUCCGGAGCUAGACCAAACAGGGUGCAGAAGCGGUCCGCUUCACGAUGACACCCGGGUAGGUCGCGAUUGAGGCGACGAGCAAUCGUCGUGCACAGAUAAAUGAUCGUCACCGAAGCGCAAGCGGCGGUACAGAACCCGGCUUACAAGCCUAUCUGCAAUC
rnacentral:RNase_P_RNA from 2 species